rnacentral:rRNA from 1 species
CAAGUCGAGCGGCAGCGCGGGGCAACCUGGCGGCGAGCGGCGAACGGGUGAGUAAUGCAUCGGAACAUGUCCAUGUCGUGGGGGAUAGCCCGGCGAAAGCCGGAUUAAUACCGCAUAAGCCCGAGAGGGGAAAGUGGGGGACCGCAAGGCCUCACGCGAUUGGGUUGGCCGAUGUCCGAUUAGCUAGUUGGCGGGGUAAGAGCCCACCGAGGCGAUGAUCGGUAGCUGGUCUGAGAGGAUGAUCAGCCACACUGGGACUGAGACACGGCCCAGACUCCUACGGGAGGCAGCAGUGGGGAAUUUUGGACAAUGGGGGCAACCCUGAUCCAGCCAUUCCGCGUGAGUGAAGAAGGCCUUCGGGUUGUAAAGCUCUUUUGUCCGGAACGAAACGGUGCACGUGAAUAUCGUGCGCUACUGACGGUACCGGAAGAAUAAGCACCGGCUAACUACGUGCCAGCAGCCGCGGUAAUACGUAGGGUGCGAGCGUUAAUCGGAAUUACUGGGCGUAAAGCGUGCGCAGGCGGUUUUGUAAGCCAGAUGUGAAAUCCCCGGGCUUAACCUGGGAAUGGCAUUUGGGACUGCAAGGCUGGAGUGUGGCAGAGGAGACUGGAAUUCCUGGUGUAGCAGUGAAAUGCGUAGAUAUCAGGAGGAAUACCGAUGGCGAAGGCAGGUCUCUGGGCUGACACUGACGCUCAUGCACGAAAGCGUGGGGAGCAAACAGGAUUAGAUACCCUGGUAGUCCACGCCCUAAACGAUGUCGACUGGUUGUUGGGGGUUUGACACUCUCAGUAACGAAGCUAACGCGUGAAGUCGACCGCCUGGGGAGUACGGCCGCAAGGUUAAAACUCAAAGGAAUUGACGGGGACCCGCACAAGCGGUGGAUUAUGUGGAUUAAUUCGAUGCAACGCGAAAAACCUUACCUACCCUUGACAUGUCCGAGAGGCUGAA